UAGACUUGACAUCUCCUGAAUUACCCGUAACUGGGGAAGUUCCUUCGGGAACAGGAAGACAGGUGGUGCAUGGUUGUCGUCAGCUCGUGUCGUGAGAUGUUGGGUUAAGUCCCGCAACGAGCGCAACCCUUAUUGUUAGUUGCUACCAUUAAGUUGAGCACUCUAGCGAGACUGCCCGGGUUAACCGGGAGGAAGGUGGGGAUGACGUCAAAUCAUCAUGCCCCUUAUGUCUAGGGCUACACACGUGCUACAAUGGCAAGUACAAAGAGAAGCAAGACCGAGAGGUGGAGCAAAACUCAAAAACUUGUCUCAGUUCGGAUUGUAGGCUGAAACUCGCCUACAUGAAGCCGGAGUUGCUAGUAAUCGCGAAUCAGCAUGUCGCGGUGAAUACGUUCCCGGGUC
rnacentral:rRNA from 1 species